rnacentral:rRNA from 1 species
ACUCAAAGAAUUGACGGGGGCCGCACAAGCGAGGAACAUGUGGUUUAUUCGAUAUACGCGAGAACCUUACCGGGUUUAACGUAAGGAGACAGGGGUGAAACAUCCUAUUCAGCAAUGACUGCCUACGAGGUGCUGCAUGGUUGUCGUCAGCUCGUGCCGUGAGGUGUCGGCUUAAGUGCCAUAACGAGCGCAACCCUUAUUUCCAGUUACUAACAGGUGAUGCUGAGGACUCUGGAGAGACUGCCAGCGUAAGCUGUGAGGAAGGUGGGGAUGACGUCAAAUCAGCACGGCCCUUACAUCCGGGGCGACACACGUGUUACAAUGGUAAGGACAAAGGGCAGCUACCGGGCGACCGGAUGCGAAUCUCUAAACCUUAUCUCAGUUCGGAUCGGAGUCUGCAACUCGACUCCGUGAAGCUGGAUUCGCUAGUAAUCGCGCAUCAGCCAUGGCGCGGUGAAUA